AUCUGCUAUAGCAGCAGCUCCCUAUAGCAAUUUAUUGUAACUAUAAGCAAGCCUGCUCAGUUAUCGAUGCUUCACAUCCUCUGAAUAAAAACAGCAACAAAAUUGUCUCAGGCUUUCUCUCUUUAAAAUUUGUAUAUAAACUUGCAUGAUUAAGUGAAUAUUCAUUACAGGGAUGGAUGAAUAAUACAUUGGGCUUAUAAUUAUAUUAAAUAUAAUUAUUCUGGCACUUGUUAAAAGAUAUGUAAGAAAUGCACAAUGGUUAUACACUUUGAACAUUUUGAAUGACUUUACUGAACUUCUGAUUCAGUCACUGAGUAUUUGAAAAUUACAAUUCAUGAACUAAACAGAUUCAUAUAAAGAAUUUACACAAUUCCCAAAUACUUUCAAAUAUAAAAUUUAAUAAAUAACCCUGACCAGUCUAAAAGCACCAUUCAAGGGUAAAUUGCCCUUGGAAAAUAGAUUAGGUGUUGCAUAUUUGAGUCCCGUUCAGUGGUUUCAUGUGAAACCCUUUCAGAAAAUGACAAUAAAAAUAAUCACAGUAAACUAAAAUAAAAGAUUCAAAUAAGAUGCUUUAAAAAUGGUAAAGCUCAUUCAAGUUCAAUCUUUUCCCAGCCCCUGGUUGUAUUCCUGUAUUCUUCCCAUACUUUAACCUAAAGAAAAGUUAUAACAGGCCUUACUGUCUUGGCUAGACUAGUAAAUAAACUGAAGGCUUCAGCGUAAAACAAUUCCUCAUGCUUGGGAAGAUUAUAAUAUUAAAAAA